rnacentral:rRNA from 1 species
AGACCGAUAGCGAACAAGUACCGUGAGGGAAAGAUGAAAAGCACUUUGGAAAGAGAGUUAAACAGCACGUGAAAUUGUUAAAAGGGAAACGAUUGAAGUCAGUCGUGUGAAAGGUAUUCAGCCGUCUCUGGCGGUGUAUUUGCCUUUCACGGGUCAACAUCAGUUUGAUCCGGCAGAAAAAGGCGGGAGGAAGGUGGCACCCUCGGGUGUGUUAUAGCCUCCUGUCACAUGUGUCGGACCAGACUGAGGAACGCAGCUCGCAGCAAUGCCGGGGUUCGCCCACGUACGAGCUUAGGAUGUUGACAUAAUGGCUUUAAACGACCCGUCUUGAAACACGGACCAAG